rnacentral:rRNA from 1 species
CACGUAGGGGGCAAGCGUUGUCCGGAUUUAUUGGGCGUAAAGAGCUCGUAGGUGGUUCGGUAAGUCGGGUGUUAAACCCCCAGGCUCAACCUGGGGACGCCACUCGAUACUGCUGUGACUAGAGUCCGGUAGGGGAGCGUGGAAUUCCUGGUGUAGCGGUGAAAUGCGUAGAUAUCUGGAGGAAUACCGGUGGCGAAGGCGGCGACCUGGGUUGACAUUGACGCUGAGGCGCGAAAGCGUGGGGAGCAAACAGG